UUUACCCUAUAAAUUGUUUCAUCAAUGUCACAAUUGAGAAACGCUGUCUUAACAUCCAUCUGAUGUAACUCAAGAUUGAAAUGCGCUACCAAUGCCAUUAUAGUCCUGAAAGAGUCUUUCGAAGAAACCGGAGAGAAAGUCUCGUUAUAAUCGAUGCCUUCUUUCUGUGUAAAGCCUUUUGCGACAAGACGAGCUUUAUACCUCUCUACAUCACCUUUCGAAUCCCUCUUGGUCUUAAAUAUCUAUUUGCAACCAAUGGGUUUCGCACCUUCAGGCAAUGGAACGAGGUCCCACACGUCAUUGUCCUUCAUGGACUUUAUCUCUUCAUUCAUAGUAUUAAGCCACUUUUGAGAGUUAGAACUUUCUAUGGCUUGACGGAAGUUGAUCGGAUCAUCUUCCACCAUUCCAACGUCAAUUUCAUGUUCUUGAAGAAAUACGAUGUAAUCAUUCGAAACCGCACUUCUCCUCUCUCUAAUGGAUCUUCUUAAUGGCAUUGGUUCUUGAGGGUGUAGAGUUUGUUCUUCUGGAACAAUUUGUUGAUCUUGUAGGGAGGUAUGACAUUGUCUUGAUCCAGAGUUAUUUCUUGAACAAUAUCAGGGAUAGAAACCUGAUCAUUGUCAAUGGCAAUUAGAGGAAUUUCAACAUAUUCCUCCUCAAAGACAAAGCCUGUAACCCUUUCUCCCCCCGCAAACUCAACAUCCUCAAAAAACCUAGCAUUUCCUAUCUCAAAAAUUGCCUUAGUUGUGGGAUCAUAAAACUUGUAACCCUUGGACCUUUCAGAAUAUCCAAUGAAAUAGCAACUGAUGGUCCUUGCGUCCAAUUUCUUUUCAUUUGGCUUAUAGGGCCUUACCUCAGCUGGACACCCCCAAAUAUGAAUAUGCUUCAAACUAGGCUUCUUGCCAGUCCAAAGCUCAUAUGGGGUUUUAUUAGUGGCCUUAGUUGGAACUCUAUUGAGUAUAUAAGUUGCAGUCUUUAAUGCUUCACCCCAGAGAGAUUCUGGUAAGGUAGAAUGACUAAUCAUACUCCUCACCAUGUUCUUAAGCGUUCCAUUUCGUCUUUCAGCAACACCAUUCAUAGUGGGCGAACCCGGCAUAGUGUAUUGUGGGACGAUACCGCAUUCCUCUAGGAAUUUAGCAAACGGUCCUGGACGCUAUUCACCUAAACCGUCAUAUCUGCCAUAGUAUUCACCCCCACGGUCAGAUCUGACGCUUUUAAGCCUUUUGCCGAGUUGGUUCUCAACUUCAGCUUUAUAGUUUUUGAACACAUCCAGUGACUGUGAUUUUUCAUGAACGAGAUAUAUGUAGCCAUAUUUUGAAAAGUCGUCUAUGAACGUUAUAAAAUAUUAUUGACCAUUCCAAGAACUCGUAGGGACUGGUCCACAAAUAUCCGUAUGUAUAAGUUCUAAGACGUCCGAAGUCCUAUUGGCUUGAAAUCUCCUUUUAUUGGUUUGUUUUCCCUUUAUACAGUUGACACACAAAUCAUAAUCUGUAAAGUCAAGAGGGUCGAGAAUCCCGUCAAACACAAGUCUCUCAAUUCUCCUUUUGGAGAUGUGACCUAAUCUCUUGUGUUACAACGAGGCAGAAUUCUCGUCGUUUAAUUUUCGCUUUACACCUCGAGUACUUACAUGCAAUGUUUCAUUAUAAAAAGUAAUUGUAUCAAUUGAAUAAAGAUUAUCGUAACCUGAUAAAGAACUGGAACCAACCAAUUUUGAAUCAUGAAACAAACUAAAUUUUCCAUUUUCAAAAGAACAAGUAUAACCAAAUUUGUCCAAAACAGAAAUAGAAAUCAAAUUCUGUCUAAAAGACGGUACAAUAAAUGUCUCAACAAGAUCCAAAUAAAAUCCAUUCUUUAACAAUAAUCUAAAUUUUCCUAUUGCCUCUACUUCCAUUCUAU
rnacentral:lncRNA from 1 species